ACUUUUGGGAUAGUAUUGGAAAUGUAGUUUAGGAAAAUACCUAUUUAAAAAAAAAAGAAUAGAAGGACAGAUAACAGAUUUACAGGUUACAAGAGUAGAUUUAGAAAAUAUGAAUUUUACAUAUUUUUUUGUCCACAUCAUUGAGCAAUAAUUAGAAAAUUAGUCUCUCUGUGUACAAGAAACAAUUGGAAAUCUACCCUCCCAUGCAAUGUCCUAGUGAUCUACCUUCUGUCUUGGUACUUUCCUGUUGGUGUAAUAAACCAUCAUGACUAAAAGUGACUUAUGGAUGAAUAGGUGUAGUGGGGAGGCACAGCAGCAGGUGGCAGGCGUGGCAGCAGGAGCAGGAAAUGGAGAGCUCACAUCCUCAACUGCAAGCUUGAAGCAGAUACCCAGUGGGUCGUAGAACAAGGGUUUUUACUCUCACAGCCUAUCCCUGGUAACAUGCAUCCUGUAGCAAAACCAGACCUCCUAAGCCUCCCAUCUGCACCAGCCAGGGUCCAAAAAUCCCAAUUCCAAAGCAUUUAAAGGACACUUUUCAUGUAAGUCACCAUACAUGACCAUGCAUAUCCUUUAGCUCAAACACUCCCACGGUGAUAACCUUUUGUUCUUUUUUUCUUUUUUGUAAGGUCAUAAAGCACUACAGUCAGUAUGCACACCAUUUGUACUGUGUGGACCAGUGAGUGUGGUAUUCCCUCAGGGCAGUGAUGCUGAGUGGGGAAAUGAGGAUGAAAAAUGAACUCGGGUGUGGGUUGGGCGUAUACUCUUGGUUACCAGAAGGAAAGAGAGACAAGGCAGAUCCAGGGAACAGCCCAAAAGGAAACAUCUGAAUAGUUGCCCGCCUCACAGACUAGCCCCAGCUACAUCUCAGGAUUCUUGGCCUGCUUCCACUUCCACCCUCUGAGUGUUGAACAUGUCUUAGGGGAUGCCAGCGUUGUUUUUUUCCUAACCUUAGGAGUCCAUCUUCCUAACCCAUGAGUCCCACUGGCCUACAGCUUCUGCUUUGUUUGCUUGCUGCUGUCUACUAGUGAUUAGCCUUAGAAGCUCCUUGAAGUGGGUAAUUCCCUUCUCUUUAUUUUAGCUUUCCUUCCUACUAUUCUAAAACUGUAUAUUGUACAGAUAUACAGCAGAUAUGCUGUGUAUGUGGUAAAACCUGCCAUGGUGAUGUUUAUGCAGAGCACAGACAUUAUUCUAUAAACAAUAUAGUGUAAGACUAUUUAUUUAGCAUUUAUAUU
rnacentral:lncRNA from 1 species